rnacentral:lncRNA from 1 species
AUAAUUGAAACAAUAUUAUAGAUAAAAAUAUAUCUUUAACUUCAUGACAGAUUUGUUGUCAGAACAAAUUCAAUAAUAAUGCAGCAAAUCUUCUCUCUAGUUGCUCCAACCUCUCUCUAGAAGUCUCUUAAAUAAAAUCAACGCUCGGUGGCCGGUGGCUUAGCCGCCGGUUACCACCCUUCUCCUUUUGUUUUUUGGUCUGUAAAUACUUCGAUCUGAUGAUCGAAUCUCUCUGUUCCGGUUUGCGGAUAUUCCCUUUCACUAGGCGAUUUUAUAUCUUCUACUUAUCGGAUUGUCUCUUUGUGCUAGGCGUUUUUUGUUGUGUGAAAUCAAAAUCCGUUCUCUGCUUUCCUUUAUAAACUGAUAAUUCCACUUGAUUUUGGAGGUUUCUAGUCUCCUUGUUAGUUACGCUUAAUUUCUUACUCUAAUAAGAAAUCAAUCUUCGCUUCAGAUAAAAGGCGAAGUAUUCUUAAAGGUAUGAAAUCGAGAUGGUUGAUUAAGUGGUGGAGAGUUGAUGCAGAGUUUCAGAUUAGCCGGAGCUUUCAUCUUGGGAGCGUUCUGGCGAGUUUUCCGUGUCUCUUUCCUUGAAACUUUUCACUGGAUUUCAUCUCUAGCAUGUAGACGAAGAAGCUUUCAAGAUUGGCGGCGGGCAAGGAAAGAAGAAACGGUCAAGUGGGCUAAAUCAGUCGAAGAAGGAGGCUGAAAAUUCAUAGUCCGGUAGGUUUCCGACGAGCAACCAGCGGUGCUCUCUCUGAUUCCAGAAAUUUCGAUGGCCACGUUAUAGGGCACGUGUCUUCCAUGCUUUCAUUGUUAUGUUAUUAAAAAUACACGUGUUUAUAUCCUUUUAAUUUUAUCUUGUUGGGCAUCGGACGAGCUGAAUAUGUAUUGGGGAUGAUUUACCUACUUGAUAAAACUGUUGACAAAAAAAAAAUUCAAUAAUAAAAAUUAACUUGAAAUAUAUGAUUUAAAAUGAA